ensembl:lncRNA
AACAAGCCCCAGUAGAAGUGGACUCAAGAUUUCUUCCUCAGCAAAGAAAAUGAAACCAUUUACCAGACCAUUAUUCACCGUCUCCCUUUAUGAAUUGAACUAAAGAACUUGACAAUAACGAGCCUGCAGACUGCUGAAACAUCUAUAUUAAGUUAACCACGUGCCGGGGACAUGCCUCUAUCAUCCUGGAUCAGUUCCUGAUGACUGACCUUCUGCAGGAGCAGUGGACUGCAUUCAUGAGGAGGCACCACUUUUGCUGCCCUAAGUGUUUUCUCUUCUGUCCUGAAGCAGAAGUCUAUCUCCAAACACUACCACGUCAGCUCCAAGCCGAUGGCAAUAAUACCCAUCUUUCUGUAACCAACCCCUUGGAAUCAUUUGAAGCACUGAAACGACAAGACUGUCCACGGGGGAAAGGACACAAAGACAUCAAAUAUUGACCAAUUAUAGGGCUUAAAACAAAGGAAUGAGCAUGCCUUGUAUUGCAUAUCAUUGGAUUACGUUCUCGAUACUUUGCAAAGGUCUCCUCCAUCCCUGGUGCCCGGCUGUACUCAACAAUACCCCUAAAGACCACUUGGGACGAGUGGCCGUUCUGACCUCACCACCCUGCCAG